GAUGAACGCUAGCGGCAGGCCUAACACAUGCAAGUCGAGGGGCAUCAUGGCGUAGCAAUACGCUGAUGGCGACCGGCGCACGGGUGCGUAACGCGUAUGGAACCUACCCACCGCAGGGGGAUAACCCGCCGAAAGGCGGACUAAUACCCCAUGGUUCCCCGACCCUGCCUGGGGUUGGGGGUAAAGCCUACGGGCGGCGGUGGAUGGCCCUGCGUGCCAUUAGCUGGCUGGUGGGGUAACGGCCCACCAGGGCGACGAUGGCUAGGGGGUCUGAGAGGACGAUCCCCCACACUGGUACUGAGACACGGACCAGACUCCUACGGGAGGCAGCAGUGAGGAAUAUUGGUCAAUGGGCGCAAGCCUGAACCAGCCAUGCCGCGUGCAGGAUGACGGUCCUAUGGAUUGUAAACUGCUUUUGCACAGGAAGAAACAACGCUACGUGUAGCGUCUUGACGGUACUGUGAGAAUAAGGAUCGGCUAACUCCGUGCCAGCAGCCGCGGUAAA
rnacentral:rRNA from 1 species